rnacentral:misc_RNA from 1 species
CCCAACUAUCCCUAUUAAUCAUUACGUCAAUCUUAGAAACCAACAAAAUAAGAUCGAACGUCCUAUUUCAUUAUUCCAUGCUAAUGUAUUCAAGCAUAUGCCUGCUUUAAACACUCUAAUUUUUUCAAAGUAACAGUCCUGAUUCCCCAAGACACCAAAUUAAUGACAUCAAGGUUCUUCAGAAGGGAGAAACCAGUAAUGACAGUACGUACCGAAGCACGACCAACAUACUGAUCCCGAAAUUCAACUACGAGCUUUUUAACUGCAACAACUUUAAUAUACGCUAUUGGAGCUGGAAUUACCGCGGCUGCUGGCACCAGACUUGCCCUCCAA